CGCCUGGGGAGUGCGGCCGCAAGGUUAAAACUCAAAUGAAUUGACGGGGGCCCGCACAAGCGGUGGAGCACGUGGUUUAAUUCGACGCAACGCGAAGAACCUUACCUGGCCUUGACAUCCAGAGAACUUUCCAGAGAUGGAUUGGUGCCUUCGGGAACUCUGAGACAGGUGCUGCAUGGCCGUCGUCAGCUCGUGUCGUGAGAUGUUGGGUUAAGUCCCGUAACGAGCGCAACCCCUAUCCCUGGUUGCUAGCAGGUAAUGCUGAGAACUCCAGGGAGACUGCCGGUGACAAACCGGAGGAAGGUGGGGAUGACGUCAGGUCAUCAUGGCCCUUACGGCCAGGGCUACACACGUGCUACAAUGGCGCGUACAGAGGGCUGCCAACUCGCGAGAGUGAGCCAAUCCCUUAAAACGCGUCGUAGUCCGGAUCGGAGUCUGCAACUCGACUCCGUGAAGUCGGAAUCGCUAGUAAUCGCGAAUCAGAAUGUCGCGGUGAAUACGUUCCCGGGCCUUGUACACACCGCCCGUCACACCAUGGGAGUGGAUUGCACCAGAAGUAGUUAGUCUAACCUUCGGGAGGACGAUUACCACGGUGUGGUUCAUGACUGGGGUGAAGUCGUAACAAGGUAACCGUA
rnacentral:rRNA from 1 species